rfam:Biomphalaria glabrata isolate BB02 unplaced genomic scaffold LGTN_random_Scaffold914, whole genome shotgun sequence.
UGUACAUGAUGAGUUUAAUCACGAUGGUCUUCUGAAUUUCCACUGAAGACAUUGUAAUUUUGACUGAUGCAGGCUU